AAGGCAGGAAGGAGGUCUGUAGCACACACCAUCUGUGUGAGCACCCUGCCUUUCCCCCAGGUUCUUCAGGGUGGAACUGCAUCUGUCUUCGGCCUCUUGGACCCAGAUGCUGUCAAGACCAUGUGCACAAACCACCAUGAGUUCUAAAUUAUGGACUACAGCACAGUGAGUGCAGAUGCAAAGGAAUGUAACUUGGAAAAAACACAAAAACAAACAAAAAAACAAACAAACAAAAGAAAAAAUAAACCAGAAAAUGCAAUAAGACACACAGAGAGCAACAAAGAAAAAAAAGAAAUAUAAUUUUGAACUGC